CCCCUCAGUGAGGUCUCCUCUUCAUCCUGCCUCAUGUGACCUCUGACAGCCCCCUCAGUGAGGUCUCCUUUUCCUCCUGCCUCAUGUGACCUCUGACAGCCCCCUCAGUGAGGUCUCCUCUUCAUCCUGCCUCAUGUGACCUCUGACAGCCCCGUCAGUGAGGUCUCCUUUUCCUCCUGCCUCGUGUGACCUCUGACAGCCCCCUCAGUGAGGUCUCCUUUUCCUCCUGCCUCGUGUGACCUCUGACAGCCCCCUCAGUGAGGUCUCCUCUUCAUCCUGCCUCAUGUGACCUCUGACAGCCCCCUCAGUGAGGUCUCCUUUUCCUCCUGCCUCGUGUGACCUCUGACAGCCCCCUCAGUGAGGUCUCCUUUUCCUCCUGCCUCGUGUGACCUCUGACAGCCCCC